rfam:Candidatus Yonathbacteria bacterium RIFCSPLOWO2_01_FTLL_47_33b rifcsplowo2_01_scaffold_1184, whole genome shotgun sequence.
GGGGAUGAUCGGCCUAGACAGGCGAUCAACUCUGGUCGGUGCUAUGCCGAGAAUGCUCGAGAACUCGUUAAAUCUCGAACACCAACCUCGUUGCAAAAAACAACCUCGUUGCAAAAGUAAAGGCAUCAGUUUCUCCGUAUUUUACGGCGAACGCCUUUACUCCUGCUUACGCUCUCGUAGCCUAAACAGCAUUCGCGCUUCGUACGCCCUCUAGGUAGUCGCGGGUGAUAUAAAAUGAGGGCUCAUCACUUUGAAUGACUCUACCAAGUGAAAAAACAUAGAGCAUCGGUACUAUAUAAUUUAGAAUACUUUUGAUAUAUAGUGCUUAAAACAAACAGAAGUCUUCUACGCAUAGUAGGCUCUUACCAGAACAUCGUCUGCACGGGGGUUCGAUUCCCCCCAUCUCCACAU